GGGGAAUCUUCCGCAAUGGACGAAAGUCUGACGGAGCAACGCCGCGUGAGUGAUGACGGCCUUCGGGUUGUAAAGCUCUGUUAAUCGGGACGAAUGGUUCUUGUGCGAAUAGUGCGAGGAUUUGACGGUACCGGAAUAGAAAGCCACGGCUAACUACGUGCCAGCAGCCGCGGUAAUACGUAGGUGGCAAGCGUUGUCCGGAAUUAUUGGGCGUAAAGCGCGCGCAGGCGGAUUGGUCAGUCUGUCUUAAAAGUUCGGGGCUUAACCCCGUGAUGGGAUGGAAACUGCCAAUCUAGAGUAUCGGAGAGGAAAGUAGAAUUCCUAGUGUAGCGGUGAAAUGCGUAGAUAUUAGGAAGAACACCAGUGGCGAAGGCGACUUUCUGGACGAAAACUGACGCUGAGGCGCGAAAGCCAGGGGAGCGAACGGGAUUAGAUACCCCGGUAGUCCUGGCCGUAAACGAUGGGUACUAGGUGUAGGAGGUAUCGACCCCUUCUGUGCCGGAGUUAACGCAAUAAGUACCCCGCCUGGGGAGUACGACCGCAAGGUUG
rnacentral:rRNA from 1 species